AAAACCUUACUACCCUUGACAUGCCAGGAACUUGCCAGAGAUGGCUUGGUGCUCGAAAGAGAGCCUGGACACAGGUGCUGCAUGGCCGUCGUCAGCUCGUGUCGUGAGAUGUUGGGUUAGGUCCCGCAACGAGCGCAACCCUUGUCAUUAGUUGCUACGUAAGGGCACUCUAAUGAGACUGCCGGUGACAAACCGGAGGAAGGUGGGGAUGACGUCAGGUCAUCAUGGCCCUUAUGGGUAGGGCUACACACGUCAUACAAUGGCCGGUACAGAGGGUUGCCAACCCGCGAGGGGGAGCCAAUCCCAGAAAACCGGUCGUAGUCCGGAUCGCAGUCUGCAACUCGACUGCGUGAAGUCGGAAUCGCUAGUAAUCGCGGAUCAGCUUGCCGCGGUGAAUACGUUCCCGGGUCUUGUACACACCGCCCGUCACACCAUGGGAGCGGGUUCUGCCAGAAGUAGUUAGCCUAACCGCAAGGAGGGCGAUUACCACGGCAGGGUUCGUGACUGGGGUGAAGUCGUAACAAGGUAGCCGUA
rnacentral:rRNA from 1 species